GGCCGCAUCACGUUGAAACACCGGUUCUCGUAAGAUCAUCGAAGUUACGCAACGUCGAGCCUGAUCAGUACCUAGAUGAGACCGGUUGGGAAUACCAGGUGCUAUAA